UCCUGCGAAAGGAUGGGAACAGCUUGUCUCUCACUGCCUGGCACACCCUCCGCACUGGGCUAACACUACACGGCUGGAGACCAACGCCAGCAGUAAUGCCUGUGGCUGAGGUGUGCUAGCAUUUAGAAGAUUCUGUGACUGGAGGAUGCGUGAUUAUGUUGUGAAAAAGUAGAAGAAAAUGCAGGCAUGGUCUGGUGCCCAGCCUACCUGGUAUAUUGCACCUCUAUGUAAGAAGCAUGGCACACCAUGCUCCUGAAGUCAAAAGACUGAAUUCUGAAGUGGCGCUCAGGGCCUGGUGCUGCUGAUUGGAGCGACACUUGAUGUAAGUCGAGGUUUUCUUUCCAAGACCCUGUGACAGACCUGGGAACUGGCAAGGGGUUCUCAAGGCCAACUGAGGCGCCUCAGCCAUCAGCUCCUCAUUUGAAAGAAGAGCUUGAAAGCGAUACAAACCAACAAAAAACAGGGCUAGAACUCACACCACAGCACACCUGUCCUUCACUGCGCUUCCUACACCAAGUAGCAGUCAUGCUACAUCACCCUACAAGA